ACGAAAGAAUGUGCUCACCAAGUCCUCCCACGCACUCCAUGCUCUGCUCCUGGAAUUCUGAUUAUUUCAGUAUCAUGCUACAACUUGUUUAGAAUAUUAGAAGAAAAACUGAAUUUCCAAAAGGAAAAACUAUGUUGGAACUGCAGUUCAUGAACCUCAUGGCUAUGACUGAAUCUCAGCUGUCCAAAUGCUUCUGGAUUUUAUGUGGUCUUAUCUCGCGUAUACACGCAUCGCGCUUGCACUAAACACUACGAAUUGAUGCAUGCUCCUGUUCGGAAUAUCCUUUUUUUUUUUUGCAUCAUGUCUUGUGAUCACAGGCACAAGGCACACAGGUCGAUGUGCUCCACCUGAUGCGCAAGAAUUCGUGGAAUACCGGCAAGGAAGCUGCCACGGGAUAUUCUAUAGAAUCAUUGCCGUGCUCCACCAUGGACGGUGCAAUUUGCAAGCCCCAUCCGCAGCAGCGGAUCCCUGCUGCCAUACCGUUCAGCGGACUUCUCCGCAUUCUUGUUCGGCUGGGAACUGAAACCUGACGAGAAUUCCUCAUCCCUGCUGGAACUAUUCAAUUUAAGCGGACGAGGACUUGAUGAGUGGCAUUUCUCCAUGUUCGCUAUCAGUGAGCUGUUAGCAACUUAGCAUUGUGUCCUUCUUGUGAGGCGAAUGUGACGUGGGAGGUUGACAUCAUCACUUGGAGUGGGUUCUUCACUAGCAAAGGCAUGUUCGAGGAGUUGUUAAGUAGGAGAGCUAUCAGAGGAAGCCUUGCAUAAUUUGUUACAUAAAUAGUCUACCUGUUUUUCUAGGAAAAAAUUGCAUAGGACAGUCUGGUGUUUGCUAUUUCGCGCCGAACUUCAGUAAUUGCCUAGGUGCGAUUAGAAAUACCUGCCACUUUGCCAUAACACACCACAACCAUUACAAAUAUGUUCAGCUAAGCCAAAAAUGCUUCCUAAAUUGAAGGGGGAAAUAGUCUAUUCACUAGCACUCUCUUACUUGAGAUUAUUAGAAAAAUGCCAUUCAAAUAGUUGCCGCGCGUUAUGGCAAAGAACCAUAAAUUUGCCAUGGUACCUCCCUGAUUAUUGAAAGUUGAGUGAAAUAGCCAAUGGCAGAAAAAUUCAGUGUCCAAUGGCAAAUUUACUUCCAUCAUUUUUCCCAUCGCACUUCAACAUAUGUAAACUGGAAAACGAACGAUUUAUUUCAAGCUAAAGUAAUAUGAUAAUCGUAAAAAGGAUUGCCGAAUAGUAGUAUACAGUAAACAAGAUCGUGGACGGGUCGAAAAAACAAGAUGAAGGAGAAAGAAGGAAAAUUUUGAUCCACGGAUGUAUCAUCUGCUUCAGAUAUCCAUGAGCGACGAAAGAUGCCUCAUCUGAAUAUUUCCCUUGUAUUUCUUUCUUAGCUUAGAGCUUUUCCCUUGCUCAAUUAUUGAAGUCAUAGGAAGAAUUCCAGGAUGAAAAUGGAAAAGAACUACUGUUGGUCAGGGUAGUAUAUCUUUGUGCACCUGUGCUUGAAAUCCAAAUUUGUGCCGUUGUGCGCCUGUCUACAUAUUCAAGAACCACCAACUGGCCUGUUCUAAACAUUUUAAAUACGGAAUAGAUCACAAUUAAGACAAAAAAAUUGUACUCCACUCCAUGUCCUAUGCAUGAUUGCUUCAAAUAUGAUAUAACCUGAUGGUUCAUAAACUUAUGACCACACCAGGCAGCAAGAAUCUCCUCAUGAUAUUUUCUGAAAACGUCGGGAUCUCGACAGACAAACAUGCUAAACGUCCAAAGAGAAAACGGCGGAGUUUUUAAUGGUAGGUCAGUUUCACUCACACAUCUCGAAUCAUGCAGGGAGCACGGCCAGGAGAACCGGCACAUGUCUUUCGCGACCGUUUGAUCUGGCAGUACAGGACAGUAGUGUGCCUGUCCCCGCAGGGUCACUCGGCCAGUGGAUAUGAUCGGCAGGGUGAGGCCACCUCCCCGAUUGCUUGGCCCCUCCACGCGCUCGCGCGGUCGCGCCCAAAGGAAAUUGAGAUCUUGGAAGCAGUAACGUUUACAUUUUGCUAUAAAUGUGUAACUGUAGUAUUUCAUUUGUAUAUAUGAAUUAUUGUCCAAACAUUGACUAAUUAGACUUAAAAGAUUCGUCUCGCAAAGUAUAACAAAACUGUGCAAUUAGUUUUUGAUUUCGUCUACAUUUAGUAGACCAUGAAUGUACCGCAAAUUUGAUGUGAUGGGAAAUCUUCCUUUUCAUAGUACCAAAGUUGAAAAACAGGGGAACUAAACAAGACCUGAAUUAUCUGCGACGGCGAUGGUAUUACGACUACAUGCUGAGGAAACAGAGGCUUGCGUGGCUGCUUUAGGGAUGAGUCGAUGACCACUGAAUGCUUGGCGUGGCAGCCUGGUCAAGCAAGAUUGGUUGCCAGAAUGCAGAUUUGAUAGCUUAUUUUUUAUAAUCGGCAGAUUUGAUAUUAGUUUGCCGUUGCCAUGUGGAUGCAACUGAGAUGAUGUCACAGGCAAUUGCCAUGUGGAUAAACGGCGGUCAUGGCGAGACUGGAAGCGACGACCUCCUCGAUCCACAUCAGCAACAUAUUCCGCACCCAAUUGAACACAGCUGUCAUCUGACAUCUUCGGGAUUACGUGUUUUAGAGCUUGGGAAAGCAAACCAAUGUAGCCGCAGAAUAUUCAAACGGACAGGGGACGAACCAUUGCGAGCGUUGCCAUAGCAGACGUACUCCCAAAUUGUAAACAGACGAAGACGAAGCAGACAAUAGUAGAUCGACACCAAACAGACACGAAACAUAACAGGAUUAUUAAUCCAGAAACGAAGCAGGACUAAACAAGUUUCUUACAACAUAAGAUGUUGUAAACGACAUACGACGACAGAUAACAGUUCAAACCGACACACCGACACACAACAAGAUAAGAUAGGAGCCACUCGGGCAGAUCAUAGGAUAACCGCGGCACACAGGCCUGACACAGCAGCAGGAAGCAUCGUCUAGUACUCGUCACCCUCGUCUCCUUCCUCGCCCUCGUCGAACUCAGCGCCGACCUCCUCGUAGUCCUUCUCGAGCGCAGCCAGGUCCUCACGGGCCUCAGAGAACUCGCCCUCCUCCAUGCCCUCACCCACGUACCAGUGAACGAAGGCACGCUUGGCGUACAUGAGGUCAAACUUGUGGUCGAUGCGGGAGAACACCUCGACCACGCUGGUGGAGUUGGAGAUCAUGCACACGGCACGCUGCACCUUGGCCAGGUCACCGCCAGGCACCACGCUGGGGGGCUGGUAGUUGAUGCCGCACUUGAACCCAGUGGGGCACCAGUCCACGAACUGGAUGGUGCGCUUGGUCUUGAUGGUGGCAACAGCAGCGUUGACGUCCUUGGGCACCACAUCACCACGGUACAUGAGGCAGCAAGCCAUGUACUUGCCAUGGCGGGGGUCGCACUUGGCCAUCAUGGAGGACGGCUCAAAGGCGCUGUUGGUGAUCUCUGCAACAGACAGCUGCUCAUGGUAGGCCUUCUCGGCAGAGAUGACUGGUGCAUAGGAUGAAAGCAUGAAGUGGAUCCUCGGGUAGGGCACCAAGUUGGUCUGGAACUCGUUCACAUCCACGUUCAGAGCACCAUCGAACCUCAGGGAGGCAAUCAGAGAUGAGAUGACCUGCAUCACAACAAUGAUGACGAACAGAAGGUUAGACAAGCACAGAUUUCAGAACCAUUCACAAUGCAGAGGGACAACACUGAAUGUUGCGACAGUAAACCAAGGCAGUACCUGAGACACGAGCCUGUUGAGGUUGGUGUAGGUGGGGCGCUCAAUGUCAAGGGAGCGGCGGCAGAUGUCAUAGAUGGCCUCAUUGUCAAGCAGAACAGCAACAUCAGUGUGCUCGAGGAGGGAGUGGGUGGACAGGACACUGUUGUAUGGCUCAACCACUGAGGUGGAGACCUGGGGAGAUGGGUACACAGUGAACCCGAGCUUGGACUUCUUGCCAUAGUCAACAGACAGACGCUCAAGGAGGAGAGAACCAAGACCAGAGCCUGUUCCUCCACCAACAGCAUUGAAGACAAGGAAGCCCUGGAGACCAGUGCAGUUGUCGGCAAGCUUCCUGAUGCGGUCAAGGCACAGGUCAACAAUCUCCUUGCCAACUGCAAGACAAGCAAUCAAAGUCAGACUUUCAAUGAAGGAUGGAUAACUGGAAACAAUGUGCACUUUGAGAUCAGAUCAUGUUACUUACUGGUGUAGUGACCACGGGCAAAGUUAUUGGCAGCAUCCUCCUUGCCACUGAUGAGCUGCUCAGGGUGGAAGAGCUGGCGGUAAGUACCAGUCCUCACCUCAUCAAUCACAGUGGGCUCAAGGUCAACAAAAACAGCACGGGGCACAUGCUUCCCAGCACCAGUCUCACUGAAGAAGGUGUUGAAAGCAUCAUCACCUCCUCCAACGGUCUUGUCGCCGGGCAUCUGGCCAUCAGCCUGAACAGAGCAAAACAAGCAGCAUUAGAGAUGCAAAUCACAAAUGGAAACAGUUAGAUUAGAUAACACAAAGGCACAUCAUAAACAAGCUAAUAAGAUAACUGCAUACCACACGACUGCCUGUACGAGCAAGUUAACAUCUAGGUAAUAUAAUUAUGACUGAUCAAUAAGAUCUAGGAAUACAUGUACAUGAGAGGCAUAGACACAUUCUAAGCCAACUAGCCUAGUACACUCUAGUACAGCAGGCAGAUCUAGAUCUUACAAGGAAUAACAACACAUAGGCCAUGCCUUUCAAACCAUUACAUCGAAUUCAUACAUCCUAAUGUAUCAUGCUUAAUUACAGAUUGCAAGGACAUUAUUUAGCAAAUGUACAUGAACACUGCAGAAACCUGAAUAGCAAAACACAGCCGUCACUAGCCCACUUCUAACUGAGAAUGAUUCGAAUUUUUAACAAUAUCUACGUUAAAUUAUAAUAAGCACAUUUUUCCACACAACAAGCAUCUAGAUCUAAACAGAUGUUACGAACCGGAGACUCUACUUUCUUAAAAUAGAGACCAACAAUGUUCAGAUCCACCCAAGAAUAAGCUAAAUCAGCACCAAUUAAGCUAACAGAUCUACUGAAUCAACAACACCAGGUAAAAUAAUGAGUAAUUCCGGCUAAUUCCCAUUCAAAUUCCACAUCUGCAUACCCAGAUCUAUAAUAAUAACAACUGCAAAUAGCCACCAUUUCACCAGACCUACGGCUUAUGCCAAGCAAUCGCAGAUCUGGGCAGCCACCAUCACACACAGCUAGAUCCGCACAGUUCUACAGAUUUCAAAUGCCAUAACCCCCCCCCCCUACUCAGAUCCACUAAAUCCAGCACAAAUCAACCCGACAUACGCCCUGAUCUACCACAGAUCUGGCAUCGAGAAGCGAAAACGAAGGCGAAAUGGACGGAUCGGUACCUGAAUGCCAUGCUCGAGGCAGUAGAGCUCCCAGCACGCGUUUCCGACCUGUAUACCGGCCUGGCCGAUGUGGAUCGAGAUGCACUCCCUCAUGGUGUCGUCGGAAGGGUGGUGCGGCGGCGACGGCGGCGGCGGUAGGGAAUGGGAGGACGGGGAAAGCUUUGAGUCGCGAGAGAGGCGAGUACGAAGACGCCUUCCUCUGCGGUGCUCGGCUU
rnacentral:lncRNA from 1 species